AGUUUUUACGGGGGCAUUUGCGGUUAAAAAAAACCAUUCUUUAAUCGCACUACACGACACCAUCUCCUCAAGCUCACAUCUCCUCCAUGUUCUUCUCCGGCGCAGCGAAACCCUAGGAUCCAUGGAUCCCCACCGCGAGAACGGCGCCCAUGGCCCCGUCUCCAAGAAGGCCCGCCGAUCGUCGUCGAUUACCUUUGAAGAGAUUCAGGAGGAGUUCUCCCACCAUGAGCGUAACGUCGCUCGCAUCAACAACGGUAGUUUCGGCAGCUGCCCGGGCUCCGUCCUCGCCGCGCAGCGCGAAUGGCAGAUGCUAUUUCUUAGUCAGCCUGAUGACUUCUACUUCAAUCGCCUCCAGCCUGCUCUCCUUGAGUCGCGAUCGGUGAUCAAGUCCAUCAUCAACGCUGCCGACGUUGAUGAGGUGUCUCUCGUUGACAACGCGACGACCGCCGCCGCUAUCGUGCUCCAGAAGGUCUCGUGGGCGUUCUCCGAGGGCACUUUCUCUCGCGGCGAUGCCGUAUUGAUGCUCCACUAUGCGUACGGAGCCGUCAAGAAAUCCAUCCAGGCCUACGUCUCCCGAGCCGGUGGUCACGUUAUUGAGGUCCCACUUCCCUUCCCUGUCUCAUCAGACGCUGAAAUCAUCGAUGAAUUCAAGAAAGCCCUGAGUCUUGGCAAAGCCGGCGGUCGGAAGGUUCGGCUGGCUGUCAUCGACCAUAUCACGUCGAUGCCUAGCGUGGUGAUUCCGGUGAAGGAGUUGACUAGAAUCUGCCGCGAGGAGGGCGUUGAUCAGGUGUUUGUUGAUGCCGCCCACGCUAUUGGGAACGUCAAGAUUGAUGUGCAGGAUAUUGGCGCCGAUUUCUACACUAGCAACCUCCAUAAAUGGUUCUUCUGCCCACCGUCAGUUGCGUUUCUAUACUGCCGGAAAUCACAGGUUUCUGAUGACAUGCACCACCCGGUGGUAUCCCAUGAGUACGGCAAUGGCCUGGCCAUAGAGAGUGGAUGGAUUGGUACUCGUGAUUAUAGUGCGCAGCUUGUUGUCCCGGAGGUGAUUCGUUUCAUCAAUAGGUUUGAGGGUGGGAUUGAAGGAAUUCGAUGCAGGAACCACAAGAAGGUGAUUGAAAUGGGGAAGAUGCUCGCACUAUCAUGGGGCACUCGUCUUGGCUCCCCUCCAGAAAUGUGCUCAAGCAUGGUCAUGGUCGGAUUGCCAGGUUGUUUGAAGGUAUACAAUGAUAAGGAUGCUCUGAGGUUGCGGAAGUAUUUGAGGGAGUUUCACAACGUAGAAGUUCCUAUUUAUUGCUGCAAACAACUGACGGAUGGAGAGGUUGAGAGGAUAAGUAGUUCAGUUAUUACUGGUUAUGCGAGGAUUUCUUAUCAGGUUUAUAAUGUGGUGGAGGAUUAUGAGAGGCUGAAGAAGGCGAUUGACGACAUUAUCACGGGGGAGUUUCACGCUCGUUUGCUUCCUGUAACUGAUUAGCUUUUCUGUUUGGAGCACUCAUUCAUUCCACCAUUCUGAGUCAAUGUUCUCUCUCUUGUUAUCACUUAUCAGUUCAGUUCAUCAUUUGAAGGUUGCUGGCAAGGAUGAAGCAAGUUGUGGAGCUUAGGAAGAGAAACCUCGGAAAUCCAGAGAAAGAGAAAGCUUGGGAUGGAAAGUCACUUUUCAACCUAAUAAAGCCAUUCAACCCGUUAAAGCAUCAAUUUCAGUCAAUCAAGUUACCAAACCAGUACAUUCAUUGCGAAGGUUCAGGAAUUCCCCCGCUUGCGAAGGGCAGCAGCUGAGGACAAAAGGUGGUGCCCAAAGGACAGUUUGUUCUUUUGCAGGGACAGCAGGAGUUUCUUCUAAGGGUGCUUCUUGGUUGGUUGGUUGGUUGGUGUUCUGGUUGUUGUGGUUUAUUUUUUAUUUUUUUUUAAAAAAA